rnacentral:misc_RNA from 1 species
AAGUCGUAACAAGGUAUCCGUUGGUGAACCAGCGGAUGGAUCAUUACCUGAUUUGCCAAAUGCCAAUUUUGGUGUGGCUGACAUUUAGUUGGCCUCUGGCGUGGUUGGUUAACUAGCCUGCCAGUACUUGUAGUGUGCAGUGACGUGAGGUUGGUGUUGAAGCCAACAAGGAGUCGCACGCUUGAUGAGUGGAGGGGUUGUUGGAGUGGAUGGAUACUACCAUCCAGGCGAGAUGCAUCCUCAACCCCUGAGACUGCCAUUGACUUAACCGAAGCGAUUGUCUUUAAAGAUGACAACUGCUGGCCGUGGAUCACUUGGCUGACG